rnacentral:rRNA from 1 species
UACGUAGGGGGCAAGCGUUGUCCGGAAUCAUUGGGCGUAAAGAGCGUGUAGGCGGCCAGGUAGGUCGGUUGUGAAAACUGGAGGCUCAACCUUCAGAGGUCGACCGAAACCAUCUGGCUAGAGUCCGGGAGAGGAGAGUGGAAUUCCUGGUGUAGCGGUGAAAUGCGCAGAUAUCAGGAAGAACACCCGUGGCGAAAGCGGCUCUCUGGAACGGUACUGACGCUGGGACGCGAAAGCGUGGGGAGCGAACAGG